AGAGUUUGAUCCUGGCUCAGAACGAACGCUGGCGGCAUGCCUAACACAUGCAAGUCGAACGAAGGCUUCGGCCUUAGUGGCGCACGGGUGCGUAACGCGUGGGAAUCUGCCCCUCGGUUCGGAAUAACAGUUGGAAACGACUGCUAAUACCGGAUAAUGACGAAAGUCCAAAGAUUUAUCGCCGAGGGAUGAGCCCGCGUAGGAUUAGGUAGUUGGUGGGGUAAAGGCCUACCAAGCCGACGAUCCUUAGCUGGUCUGAGAGGAUGAUCAGCCACACUGGGACUGAGACACGGCCCAGACUCCUACGGGAGGCAGCAGUGGGGAAUAUUGGACAAUGGGCGAAAGCCUGAUCCAGCAAUGCCGCGUGAGUGAUGAAGGCCUUAGGGUUGUAAAGCUCUUUUACCCGGGAUGAUAAUGACAGUACCGGGAGAAUAAGUUCCGGCUAACUCCGUGCCAGCAGCCGCGGUAAUACGGAGGGAGCUAGCGUUGCUCGGAAUUUACUGGGCGUAAAGCGCACGUAGGCGGUACUCAAGUCAGAGGUGAAAGCCCGGGGGCUCAACCCCGGGAACUGCCUUUUGA
rnacentral:rRNA from 1 species